UGAGUACGAGAUGCUACGGCAUCGAAGCAGUCUAUGUCAUACUUCCAAGAAAAGCUUGCACUGUCAGAAACAGAUAAUGCCUGUACCAUAACCGACACAGGUGGGUAGGUAGAGUAUACUAAGGGGCGCGAGAUAACUCUCUCUAAGGAACUCGGCAAAAUGACUCCGUAACUUCGGGAGAAGGAGUGCCUUAUUUUUAAGGUUGCAAUAACAAGAUCCAAGCAACUGUUUACCAAAAACACAGGUCUCCGCUAAGUCGUAAGACGAUGUAUGGGGGCUGACGCCUGCCCAGUGCCAGAAGGUUAAAGAAGUCGGUUAGCAUUCGCGAAGCUGGUAACUGAAGCCCUGGUGAACGGCGGCCGUAACAAUAACGGUCCUAAGGUAGCGAAAUUCCUUGUCGGGUAAGUUCCGACCCGCACGAAAGGCGUAAUGAUUUGGAUACUGUCUCGGAGAGGGGCUCGGUGAAAUAGACUUGUCUGUGAAGAUGCGGACUACCUGCACCUGGACAGAAAGACCCUAUGAAGCUUUACUGUAACUUGAAAUUGAAAUUGGACUUUAUUUGCGCAGUAUAGGUGGGAGGCGUUGAAAAUAUUCUUGCGGGAAUAUUGGAGCCAUCAGUGAGAUACCACUCUUGUAAUGUUAGAUUUCUAACUUUAUAUCAUUAUCUGGUUAAAGAACAGUUUCAGGCGGGCAGUUUGACUGGGGCGGUCGCCUCCCAAAUGGUAACGGAGGCGCACAAAGGUUUUCCUCUGAACGGGUAGAAAUCGUAUCUAGAGUGUAAAGGCAUAAGGAAGCUUGACUGUGAGACCUACAAGUCGAGCAGGGACGAAAGUCGGUCUUAGUGAUCUGACGGUGCUGAGUGGAAAGGCCGUCACUCAACGGAUAAAAGUUACUCUAAGGAUAACAGGCUGAUCUCCCCCAAGAGUUCACAUCGACGGGGAGGUUUGGCACCUCGAUGUCGGCUCAUCGCAUCCUGGGGCGGUAGUACGUCCCAAGGGUUGGGCUGUUCGCCCAUGAAAGCGGUACGCGAGCUGGGUUCAGAACGUCGUGAGACAGUUCGGUCCAUAUCCGGUGUAGGCGUUAGAAUAUUGAGAGGAGCCUUCUUUAGUACGAGAGGACCGAGAAGGACAUACCUCUGGUGUACCAGUUAUCGUGCCAACGGUAAACGCUGGGUAGCUAUGUAUGGAGUGGAUAACCGCUGAAAGCAUCUAAGUGGGAAGCCCACCUCAAGAUAAGUAUUCUCACC
rnacentral:rRNA from 1 species